rnacentral:sRNA from 1 species
GGGUCGCAGCCUGUCCUCUCUCUCCCCCUCCGCCGCAGCCCGUCGCCUCCGGGCAGAGUUCAGGUUCAGCUUGGGCUUUCGCUCGGGAUUUAGCAAGAGGCCGGCGGGGCUGGAGGGUGCGGGCGGGCGCGGGAGGCGGGGAGCGGCGGCCUCUGAUUGGCCGGGGCGGGGGAGUGAGCGGAGUUUCCCACAAUGCCCCGGUGCGGUGCAGCGGCGGAUGGAUGCUGCGGGAAGGGGCUGCCAUUUGCUGCCCCUGCCAGCGGCGCGCGGACCUGCCCGCGCUCCUGCAGCCGCCGCCGCCGCCAGCGCCGCCAGCCCGCCCGGCCCCUGCAGCGGCGCCGCCUGCGCUCCCUCCGCGGCCGCCGGAGCGGGCGCCAUGAACCCCAGCUCCUCGGCGGGAGAGGAGAAAGGGGCGACGGGCGGCAGCAGCAGCAGCGGAAGCGGCGCCGGGAGCUGCUGCCUGGGCGCCGAGGGCGGCGCGGACCCGCGGGGCGCAGGGGCAGCCGCGGCGGCGGGGGCCGCUGCCCUGGACGAGCCCGCGGCCGCCGGCCAGAAGGAGAAGGACGAAGCGCUGGAGGAGAAGCUGAGGAACUUAACUUUCCGGAAACAGGUCUCGUACAGGAAAGCAAUCUCCCGGGCAGGCCUCCAGCAUCUGGCUCCUGCACAUCCCCUCAGCCUUCCUGUGGCAAAUGGUCCAGCCAAGGAGCCCAGAGCGACUUUGGACUGGAGUGAGAAUGCCGUGAAUGGAGAACACCUGUGGCUGGAGACCAACGUCUCGGGAGACCUCUGCUACCUUGGAGAGGAGAACUGCCAAGUCAGAUUUGCAGGCUACACGGAUGAACCUGUUUCUAAGAUCCUGUGUCAAGUGGAAGAUGGGACAAUUGUACAGCUAGAUCGCUGGAACCUCCAUGU